rnacentral:rRNA from 1 species
GAUGAACGCUGGCGGCGUGCCUAAUACAUGCAAGUCGAACGCGCAGCGAAAGGUGCUUGCACCUUUCAAGCGAGUGGCGAACGGGUGAGUAACACGUGGAUAACCUGCCUCAAGGCUGGGGAUAACAUUUGGAAACAGAUGCUAAUACCGAAUAAAACUUAGUAUCGCAUGAUACAAGGUUAAAAGGCGCUACGGCGUCACCUAGAGAUGGAUCCGCGGUGCAUUAGUUAGUUGGUGGGGUAAAGGCUUACCAAGACGAUGAUGCAUAGCCGAGUUGAGAGACAGAUCGGCCACAUUGGGACUGAGACACGGCCCAAACGCCUACGGGAGGCUGCAGUAGGGAAUCUUCCACAAUGGGCGCAAGCCUGAUGGAGCAACGCCGCGUGUGUGAUGAAGGCUUUCGGGUCGUAAAGCACUGUUGUAUGGGAAGAAAUGCUAAAAUAGGGAAUGAUUUUAGUUUGACGGUACCAUACCAGAAAGGGACGGCUAAAUACGUGCCAGCAGCCGCUGUAA